rnacentral:rRNA from 1 species
UACGAAGGGUGCAAACGUUGCUCGGAAUUAUUGGGCGUAAAGCGCACGUAGGCGGCUUUGCAAGUCCCAUGUGAAAUCCCACGGCUUAACCGUGGAAGUGCAUGGGAAACUGCAGAGCUUGAGUACUUAAGAGGAUCGCGGAAUUCCCGGUGUAGAGGUGAAAUUCGUAGAUAUCGGGAGGAACACCAGUGGCGAAGGCGGCGAUCUGGGAAGAUACUGACGCUGAGGUGCGAAAGCGUGGGGAGCGAACAGG